GCCGAGAUUCUCGCAUGCUUCGGGGAUUCGCAGUAUCGUAGUUGCAUUUGUUGUGGGCAUUGUUAAUGUUUUCAAACACCUAAAGGCUGACUAGUUUGAGGUACAUCCGUUAUCUUCAACCAGAAUGAAGGCAGUGUUUCAUCUUUGUGGCCCUCGCAUAUGAGCUUAUGUAGAAUUUGAAUUUUCCAUAAGCUGUUUGUCUGUCUACUUGGAUUCACUCAGGGUUUCAAGAUGGCUCUCAAAAAGGAGUGUACUACAAGGUGCAGGCGAAAAUCAUCGCUUAUGCUGUUAGAUAGUAGAUUAACGAAACCCUUGAAGGUUUCUUGAGGGCCGCUGUGGUGCUGAGUUUAGCUCUAACUUGCUUCAACACACCUGCCCUGGGGUUUCUAGUAUAUCUAGUAAGAACUUGAUUAGCUGCUUCAGGUGUGUUUGAUUAGGGUGACCCGAGUUUGGACACCCCUGCAUUAGAGGGAGAGUAAAUAGAUGGCCUGAUGCCUGUAGUCAGUUGGAUGAUUAUAUACACUAGAUGCCUUGAUUCUGCAUGAAUGGGGGAUUAACCACUAGAAGGUCCAUUCAAAGGAUUCUAGAAAUUGUACCAAUUCCAGUCUGGAUCCAGCCUACCUGGUGAACACCACAGAAGACAUCAAAGCUAAUGAGUUUAGAUAACUAGAACUGGACAAACAGAGUUGGCAAAAAUCAAAGCAAACACCACUACAUUACUAUAUUAUUAUUAAAACAAUAAAAAUAUAAAAGAGAUAGAUGGACUUGGUGAGAUUUACCUGUUUUGUGAUGAUUUUGUUUAGCUGUAGAUUUAAAUAUCCAUUGAGGAAAAAUAUUUGCACCAUUAAGAACUGAUCAUAUUGAUCUCUGUUGCUAUCUUAUGGCGGAACAAUGUAACGCCAAACUGCCAAAGAAUUUCCAUUAAAUA
rnacentral:lncRNA from 1 species